rnacentral:rRNA from 1 species
GAUACGGCCCAGACUCCUACGGGAGGCAGCAGUGGGGAAUAUUGCACAAUGGGGGAAACCCUGAUGCAGCAACGCCGCGUGAAGGAUGACGGUUUUCGGAUUGUAAACUUCUUUUCUUAGUGACGAAGACAGUGACGGUAGCUAAGGAAUAAGCAUCGGCUAACUACGUGCCAGCAGCCGCGGUAAUACGUAGGAUGCAAGCGUUAUCCGGAUUUACUGGGUGUAAAGGGAGCGCAGGCGGGACUGCAAGUUGGAUGUGAAAUACCGUGGCUUAACCACGGAACUGCAUCCAAAACUGUAGUUCUUGAGUGAAGUAGAGGCAAGCGGAAUUCCGAGUGUAGCGGUGAAAUGCGUAGAUAUUCGGAGGAACACCAGUGGCGAAGGCGGCUUGCUGGGCUUUAACUGACGCUGAGGCUCGAAAGUGUGGGGAGCAAACAGGAUUAGAUACCCUGGUAGUCCACACUGUAAACGAUGAUAGCUAGGUGUGGGGGGUCUGACCCCUUCCGUGCCGGAGUUAACGCAAUAAGCUAUCCACCUGGGGAGUACGACCGCAAGGUUGAAACUCAAAGGAAUUGACGGGGGCCCGCACAAGCAGUGGAUUAUGUGGUUUAAUUCGAAGCAACGCGAAGAACCUUACCAGGUCUUGACAUCCGACUAACGAGAUAGAGAUAUGUCAGGUGCCCUUCGGGGAAAGUCGAGACAGGUGGUGCAUGGUUGUCGUCAGCUCGUGUCGUGAGAUGUUGGGUUAA